rnacentral:rRNA from 1 species
CAGCAGCCGCGGGAAAACGUAGGUGGCAAGCGUUGUCCGGAAUUAUUGGGCGUAAAGGGCUCGCAGGCGGUUUCUUAAGUCUGAUGCGAAAGCCCCCGGCUCAACCGGGGAGGGUCAUUGGAAACUGGGAAACUUGAGUGCAGAAGAGGAGAGUGGAAUUCCACGUGUAGCGGUGAAAUGCGUAGAGAUGUGGAGGAACACCAGUGGCGAAGGCGACUCUCUGGUCUGUAACUGACGCUGAGGAGCGAAAGCGUGGGGAGCGAACAGGAUUAGAUACCCCUGUAGUCCCUGUCUCUUAUAA